rnacentral:tRNA from 1 species
GGAGGGGUGGCUGAGUGGUUGAAAGCACUGGUCUUGAAAACCAGCGUAGGUUAAUAGCCUACCCAGGGUUCGAAUCCCUGCCCCUCCGCCA